AUGGAGAUUCCCAUGGGGACCCAGGGCUGCUUCUCAAAGAGCCUCCUGCUCUCAGGUAAGGAGGAAAUAGACCCUAAAGGCCAAGGGGAGAAAUGGGGACUCAGCCCAGAGAUUGAAGUUUCCUCUUAGAAGUAGGGAAAGAUUACCUGAGAGGAUGAAAUUAGAAUAAGAUGGGGGAGGGGCAACAGAAUCACAGCCUCAUUGCCAUUUUAUCUAUGGAAUUUUCUAUAAUGUUAGGACCAUGAAGGCAGGAAUUUAUGUAUGUUUGGUUCCCUGCUAUAUCUCCAGUGUCUAGAAAUUGAAGGAAGUUUAGAUGUAUUACAUAUAGUUGGUAUUAUAGCUUAUAUAUUACAUAUGCCUAUAAGUAUUGGUUGAAUAAAUGAAUGAAUGAAUGAAUUCAGAGAGUCCAUGUGUUUAGAAGCAGGCCACACAGCAUCUCAAGGUAGAAAAACCUCUGGAUCAACAGGAUGGCAAAUCUGUGGUAACCAUGCCUGUGUUCCCACUCCUGCACCCAGGGCAGACAUCACUAAUCAAUCCCAGCAUUGUUUCCAAUGAGCAGCACUCAGAGUCCUUGCUCCCCGCUGAAGAUCUGUAUCUAGAGAGGAGCAUGCCAUGGUCCCUGGCAACACCCCUGAUCUCAGCCCUUCCCUGUAACUUCCCACAGCCUCAAUCCUGGUCCUCUGGAUGCUCCAAGGCUCCCAGGCAGCUCUCUACAUCCAGAAGAUUCCAGAGCAGCCUCAAAAGAACCAGGACCUUCUCCUGUCAGUCCAGGGUGUCCCAGACACCUUCCAGGACUUCAACUGGUACCUGGGGGAGGAGACGUACGGAGGCACGAGGCUAUUUACCUACAUCCCUGGGAUACAACGGCCUCAGAGGGAUGGCAGUGCCAUGGGACAGCGAGACAUCGUGGGCUUCCCCAAUGGUUCCAUGCUGCUGCGCCGCGCCCAGCCUACAGACAGUGGCACCUACCAAGUAGCCAUUACCAUCAACUCUGAAUGGACUAUGAAGGCCAAGACUGAGGUCCAGGUAGCUGGAUGGCGACCACAGAGAAGCCAGAAUUGGGCCCUGCUCAUGAUGCUGGUGACAACAACAUCUAUGAAGUGAUGCCCUCUCCAGUCCUCCUGGUGUCCCCCAUCAGUGACACAAGGUCCAUAAACCCAGCCCGGCCCCUGCCCACACCCCCACACCUGCAGGCGGAGCCAGAGAACCACCAGUACCAGGACCUGCUAAACCCCGACCCUGCCCCCUACUGCCAGCUGGUGCCAACUUCCUGAUGGGUCCUGGGCCAGGCCAGCCAGGGAGAAGACAAGGCCCCAGCCCUCCUCUGGGAGCCUCACACCUGAGACCAGCAGGACAAGGCCAUUGGGGGCUGUGGGGCCGAUGAGGUGGACUCAGCCAAAGACUCAGCAGCACAUGGGGCAGGUGUCCUGGCAGGGGGACAGGAGACUGUAACAGGCCCAGGUCCUUGUGCAGCCCGUGAAUGCACGCCCGCCUUCGGUCUGUUCCUUCAAGCAAGCUGGCCUGGGCCAUGUGCCUGUGAAAGGCAGGCUCUGGCCCCUUUCCAUGCCAAAGUCCCCCAAGAUCUGGAUAUCUGGGGACAAGAUGGUGGCCUCAGGCCUGCCUCCCAGGCAGUUGGCUGGGCUCCCAACUGUCUGUCCUCAAUGCCCUACCCCAACUCCACUAGUGACCCUCAGAGUCUUCUCCCCUUAGGACAAGGCAGACACCCCACCAUGCGGGCCUCAGGUGGCAGAGAGGCCCAGCCUCACAGGCCUGUGGCCCCACACACCAGUCCCAGCAAGGUGACCACGGCUGCUGGACCCCUUCCCUGUUCAGGCAGGCCCAGCCCCUCUCAGAACCUGCUGCCAGCUGCUGGUCUUGGCCCCCACCCUGAAUCUUACUGAGUCCCUCUGGGCAGCAGCUCCCUUCUCCACCCCACCCCAGCACCCGUCCCAAAUGUGGCCUCAGCUUGUCCUCCCCUUCCCCAAACUAUGCAUUCAUUCAGCAAUAAAUGAGCCUUUGCUGUAUGCCAGACCCAGUUCUAGGCUCUUGCAGCCCUGGUAGAAAGCAAAACAAAAACUCCCGCUUUCCCAGAGGGUCACUUGGCAGGGGAAAGAAUCAGGAAAUAAAAUAAAUAAUGAA
rnacentral:misc_RNA from 1 species